rnacentral:misc_RNA from 1 species
GAUGAAGAACGUAGCGAAAUGCGAUACCUGGUGUGAAUUGCAGAAUCCCGCGAACCAUCGAGUCUUUGAACGCAAGUUGCGCCCGAGGCCACCCGGCCGAGGGCACGCCUGCCUGGGCGUCACGCCAAAACACGCUCCCACCCCCCCUCACCGGGGGAGCGGGACGCGGCGUCUGGCCCCCCGUGCCGCGAGGCGCGGUGGGCCGAAGAUCGGGCUGCCGGCGUACCGUGCCGGGCACAGCGCGUGGUGGAUCUCUACUCGGCGCAGUGCACCCGGCGCGUAGCCGGCGCAGCGGCCCCUAAGGACCCAACGAACCGAGCGCGAGCCGCUCCGACCGCGACCCCAGGUCAGGCGGGACUACCCGCUGAGUUUAAGCAUAUCAAUAAGCGGAGGA